UACGUAGGGUGCGAGCGUUAAUCGGAAUUACUGGGCGUAAAGCGUGCUCAGGCGGUUUUGUAAGCCAGAUGUGAAAUCCCCGGGCUUAACCUGGGAAUGGCAUUUGGGACUGCAAGGCUAGAGUGUGGCAGAGGAGACUGGAAUUCCUGGUGUAGCAGUGAAAUGCGUAGAUAUCAGGAGGAAUACCGAUGGCGAAGGCAGGUCUCUGGGCUAACACUGACGCUCAUGCACGAAAGCGUGGGGAGCAAACAGG
rnacentral:rRNA from 1 species